CCCCCCAAAAAAAAAAAAAUGAAACGCUGAUUAGCUGAUAAUAUUUUUGGGGGCCGCUAAUAUGGCUGUCAUGAAGAACUGCAAAUGCCAUGACGAUCUGGACGAGUGCCGAAAUCAAAGCAAAAAUCUGAGAGAAAAUAGAGCUGAAUAUAUUAAUAAAAGUCACCUUAUCUGAGAGAUUUACGUGGUUAUCAGAACGUCACACCAGGUUGAAUGUGCCGACAACAAAAUCACAGCAUAUGGUCUCACAAGGGGUCUGAGGAUCUCAUCUCGGUACCUAAUGGCAGUCAGGCUACCUCUGGCGAGCACAUGGAGGGCUGUGCGGCCCCCCAAAGAAAUGCCACCCACACCAUGACUGACCCACCGCCAAACUGGUCAUGCUGGAGGAUGUUGCAGGCAGCAGAACGUUCUCCAUGGCGUCUCCAGACUGUCACGUCUGUCACAUGUGCUCGGUGUGAACCGUCUUUCAUCUGUGAAGAGCACAAGGUGCCAGUGGCGAAUUUGCCAAUCUUGGUGUUCUCUGGCAAAUGCCAAACGUCCUGCACGGUGUUGGGCUGUAAGCACAACCCCCACCUGUGGACGUCGGGCCCUCAUACCACCCUCAUGGAGUCUGUUUCUGACCGUUUGAGCACACAUGCGCAUUUGUGGCCUGCUGUAGGUCAUUUUGCAGGGCUCUGGCAGUGCUCCUCCUUGCACAAAGGAGGAGGUAGCGGUCCUGCUGCUGGGUUGUUGCCCUCCUCCACGUCUCCUGCUGUCCUGGCCUGUCUCCUGGUAGCGCCUCCAUGCUCUGGACACUACGCUGACAGACACAGCAAACCUUCUUGCCAUAGCUCCCAUUGAUGUGCCAUCCUGGAUGAGCUGCACUACCUGAGCCACUUGUGUGGGUUGUAGACUCCGUCUCAUGCUACCACUAGAGUGAAAGCACCACCAGCAUUCAAAAGUGACCAAAACAUCAGCCAGGAAGCAUAGGAACUGAGAAGUGGUCUGUAGUCACCACCUGCAGAACCACUCCUUUAUUGGGGGUAUCUUGCUAAUUGCCUAUAAUUUCCACCUGUUGUCUAUUCCAUUUGCACAAAGCAUGUCACAUUUGUCAGUGUUGCUUCCUAAGUGGACAGUUUGAUUUCACAGAAGUGUGAUUGACUUGGUGUUACAUUGUGUUGUUUAAGUGUUCCCUUUAUUUUUUUGAACAGUGUAUAUAUAUACACACACACACACAAACAUACAAUAAGUCAUAAUAAAAAGUAAAAUAAAAAAUUAUACAUUGGAUCAUAUGAUCACCUGCAAUAGGCUACAUAUUAUACAUUACGUGAGGAUUAUAUGGAACCAAUUAUCUGUUUAACUGCUAGGUUUUAUAGGUAUUAUGACACAUCCACUUUGGGGCUCUAUGAGUAGCAGUUUCUGCCCAUCUUUAUACUGUACGGUCUUUGUUUGUGCACUACUGAAUGGAGCUGUGUUUGAACAGUAGCUCAAUAUGAUUUAACCCUGUGAUGGACCAAACCCGAGUCUGUCAUUUGAUAUUUAUCUAACUAGGUUUAUCUAACUCCGUUAAGAACAAAUUCUUAUUUACAAUGACGG